rnacentral:rRNA from 1 species
UAGGGAAUUUUCGUCAAUGGGGGAAGCCCUGAACGAGCAAUGCCGCGUGUGUGAAGAAGGUCUUCGGAUCGUAAAGCACUGUUGUAAGUGAAGAAUGCCAUAUAGAGGAAAUGCUAUGUGGGUGACGGUAGCUUACCAGAAAGCCACGGCUAACUACGUGCCAGCAGCCGCGGUAAUACGUAGGUGGCAAGCGUUAUCCGGAAUCAUUGGGCGUAAAGGGUGCGUAGGUGGCACGAUAAGUCUGAAGUAAAAGGCAACAGCUCAACUGUUGUAUGCUUUGGAAACUGUCGAGCUAGAGUGCAGAAGAGGGCGAUGGAAUUCCAUGUGUAGCGGUAAAAUGCUAGAUAUAUGGAGGAACACCAGUGGCGAAGGCGGUCGCCUGGUCUGUAACUGACACUGGUGCACGAAAGCGUGGGGAGCAAAUAGGAUUAGAUACC